rnacentral:rRNA from 2 species
AACGACUCUCGGCAACGGAUAUCUCGGCUCACGCAUCGAUGAAGAACGCAGCAAAAUGCGAUACUUGGUGUGAAUUGCAGAAUCCCGUGAACCAUCGAGUUUUUGAACGCAAGUUGCGCCCGAAGCCAUCCGGUCGAGGGCACGUCUGCCUGGGCGUCACGC